AUUCCAGGGGGUUAGACUUGUCAUUACAAAAAGCUAAUUUUAUUUUUUCACAAUUCAUAUCAUGCACUGAGUAGAUGUUCACUCAGGUAUGAUGUCAUUUCAAAGCUCCUUGGUUUUUUUCCUUGAAGCAAUGAGAAGAAUGAAUGAUCUUGCAACUUUUUGUAUGAUAUGGGUUCUUCUGUUAAUUUUAUGACUAUUUUGAAAAAGAAAAAAAUAGUUCUUGCAGGGUUACAGAAGUGUGGAGUCUUCACCAUUGGAGAGCAAUACCAAAUCUGAGUUAUUUGGCUGCCCUAAGUCUGAUAUUCCUACCAAGAAACUUGAUAUGUUGCCAACAAGGAAGAUCUUAGAAGUUCAAGAUACACCGUCAUACUUGGAAAAUGGAUAUAUCAUCUUAUUGGUUAGAGUCAGACCUAUCACAUAUCGAGGGAAACCAUCAUCUCUAAUAUCGUCUCUACAGCCUAUAACAAUCAUAGUGUUCUUCAAAAGAAUUUGGAGUUACCUACCUGCAAACUAUGAGAGAGAAAACUGACCUCCUUCACUGAUGGUGACUCAACUUUUGGCUUUCCAUUUGCGAGACAUGGAUCUUUUCUACCAUUUAGAGUCACUUAGUGAAGAUGUAUAUGAAGGUUCAUUGGGUGGUUCACAUUACAGAAGCCUUAUUAACUGCAAUGAAGACAUGCUAGACAUCCAUGACCAGCGAUCUUUCUAUUUCCAAAUAUCUCGGGACAAAGAUCAGUAAUUACACGUGACCCAGGAAUCAAUGCCACUGUUAAAACUUGCUCCAACCACAUGGCCAUAUUCAUCCGUCGCAGAAAAUGCAGGUUGCAGACAACCAUAAGAGAAAACUCGGAAUCUUGCACCUUAAUUGUGGCAGUUUCUACUGUUGAUUACCCAGGACAGGUUUUGAGGCAAGAAUCAAUGAUGCAUCAUGUUAAGUAGAACUCUAGAAAGGGGAAAAAUAGAAAUAUAGAUGUUGCAGUUGAUGUUAAUUCCAUUAGUUAGUAUGAAAUCAUAAAGCAGGUUCUGAUCA